rnacentral:rRNA from 1 species
UACGUAGGGUGCGAGCGUUGUCCGGAAUUAUUGGGCGUAAAGGGCUCGUAGGCGGUCUGUUGCGUCGGGAGUGAAAACUCAGGGCUUAACCCUGAGCCUGCUUCCGAUACGGGCAGACUAGAGGUAUGCAGGGGAGAACGGAAUUCCUGGUGUAGCGGUGAAAUGCGCAGAUAUCAGGAGGAACACCGGUGGCGAAGGCGGUUCUCUGGGCAUUAACUGACGCUGAGGAGCGAAAGCAUGGGGAGCGAACAGG